rnacentral:rRNA from 1 species
UACGAAGGGGGCUAGCGUUGCUCGGAAUCACUGGGCGUAAAGCGCACGUAGGCGGCUUUCUAAGUCAGGGGUGAAAUCCUGGAGCUCAACUCCAGAACUGCCUUUGAUACUGGAGAGCUUGAGUCCGGAAGAGGUGAGUGGAACUCCGAGUGUAGAGGUGAAAUUCGUAGAUAUUCGGAAGAACACCAGUGGCGAAGGCGGCUCACUGGUCCGGUACUGACGCUGAGGUGUGAAAGCGUGGGGAGCAAACAGG